rnacentral:tRNA from 1 species
GGAGAGAUGGCUCAGCGGUUAAGAGCAUUGACUGCUCUUCCAGAGGUCCUGAGUUCAAUUCCCAGCAACCACA